CUCAAGAUCUGACACUUAUUUAUAGUUAUGGAAGCAUACAAGUAAGUCAUGUUAAGGCCUUAGAAUUUGUUUCAUAAUUCAUAUUUAGUUCAAUAUUGUCACAUUUUAUAUUUUCAUUCUUUUUAUAACAUACAGUCCUUAGUAAACACUAGUAAAAGUAGACUCAGAUACUUGGAAACCACCCAACUCUAAACAUAUAUAGCACAAAGCACUACCACCCAAACACCAACAUGUAAGGGCCAUAAAUGCACCGAAGUGCUUUGUCGUGAGGCAACAUAUCAUAUCUUCGUUCAAUAGAAUACCUCCAUUCAAAAAGUGCACAUACUAUUCCCUAUAGCAUGUCAAUAGUAUCUUAACAACUUCUCUAAGUUUACAAGAGUAAAGUUUAAGUAACAAUUCAAUUUUGUUUCACUGCAAUCAUAUUCACAUAUUCACUCAUUCAUUUAUGCACAUAUCCAUACACAUUGCCACUUGAUACUUUUUAGAGUAGCACCCAUAUAUCAUAAUCAUAAUCAAGGAUUCAAUAGGC
rnacentral:lncRNA from 1 species